rnacentral:lncRNA from 1 species
AUUUUGGAUAUUAUUAGCAGGUCAUGCUAAUGAUGCCCUCCUUCUGUGUGAAGUCCAGCCCUUGCUUAAUCUGCUGUAAACGUGAUGGAGGUUCACUAGAGCUGAUGAAUUCAUUCAGGUGCAAAUUUGGAGUAAAGAGAAUCAAACUGGGGCUUGGUUUUCAUGCCCUUAGACAGCCUCACUGGGUAUGAUCCUCAGACUGUGCUGCAUGAACAUAUGAAGAUGAACUAAGAUUGGAAUCAGCAAAAUCCUUGCCCAAACCCUUAAAAAGAUGCAGAAGAUAUAAAGGAAAGAAGCAGGACUUGCUUCAGACUGAGUGAAAGGAGAUGAAAACCCAUCUCAUAAGCCAAAUCCUGUCAGUGCUCAGCGGAGGAGCUGUACCAAUGCAAUGCCAGUUGUCACCUCAUCCUGGUGAGGAAGGUUUGAACCYUCAUGAUCUCAAAGAAAGUGCUUGAAGCUUUGUGGUCUGAGCUGAAGAGGCAAGCAUUCCAGCUGGGACCUGGAAGAGGUUCAUGUCCUUUGGGGAGAAGACACAGAGCAGGAUGCAUAACACGCAGUCAUCAGCUAGAUACUUCACCAAGCUGCACUGACCUUCCUUGAGUUAUGAGUCUGAYGAGCCCCAGAUCCAGCUUCCAGCAACACUCAUGCCAACUUCAGUAGAGCUCCCUGGGAGAAAAUGACUUCAGCUGUCUUUUCUUCAGGAAAAAACUGUUUUGGUUAAACAAAAAAUCACUAUCAUAUUGAUUUUGACAUCAUUUCCCCUCAAAAGAUCAUUCAGAAUUUUUUUUUUUUUAUCAUCUGGAAUAUUUACUUAUGGAAAUUUCAGAACAACCKCACACCCUCUCACAAUACCAUCAAAGUGUUGUUUGACAUAGAAAAUAAAAUGAAAAGUUUCAGUUAGGUUAAAUAGCA